AACGAACGCUGGCGGCAUGCCUAACACAUGCAAGUCGAACGAGACCUUCGGGUCUAGUGGCGCACGGGUGCGUAACGCGUGGGAACCUGCCCUUAGGUUCGGAAUAACUCCCCGAAAGAGGUGCUAAUACCGGAUAAUGUCUUCGGACCAAAGAUUUAUCGCCUUUGGAUGGGCCCGCGUUGGAUUAGCUAGUUGGUAGGGUAAAAGCCUACCAAGGCGACGAUCCAUAGCUGGUCUGAGAGGAUGAUCAGCCACACUGGGACUGAGACACGGCCCAGACUCCUGCGGGAGGCAGCAGUGGGGAAUAUUGGACAAUGGGCGAAAGCCUGAUCCAGCAAUGCCGCGUGAGUGAUGAAGGCCUUAGGGUUGUAAAGCUCUUUUACCCGGGAUGAUAAUGACAGUACCGGGAGAAUAAGCUCCGGCUAACUCCGUG
rnacentral:rRNA from 1 species